ACCCUCUCAGGGUCAUACCUGGAGAGUUUCAAGUAUUCUACCAGUCUCGACUAUGGGAGAGAGAGUCAAGCAGAGGCAUACCCAUUCCAUUCCUAGCUUGGCCAGUGGCUAGUGAGUGCAAGGCAAUCUGUGACAAGU